GGGAGAAGAAGAAGAGAAGUUGAGGGAGAAGAGAAGAAAAGAAGAAGAGGAGGGAAAAGAAGAGAUUAGGAAGAAGAGGGAGAAGAGAAGAAAAGAAGAAGAAGAAGAAGAGAGGGAAGAUGGAGAGGAGAGAGAGAGAGAGGCAGCAGCUGCAGCUAGGGCUGUAGCACCUCUGUUUCCCGCAGGUGGAAACAAAGGAGAGGAUGUGUGGGGCGUUGGGGAGGAAAAGGGAAGAAGAAGAAGAAGAAGAAGAAGAAGAAGAAGAAGAAGAAGAAGAAGAAGAAGAAGAAGAAGAGAGGAGGAUAGCUGUGGCAAGGCUGCAGCGAGGAGGUGUGUGGCGUUGGGGAGGAAAAGAAGAGAAGUUGAGGGAGAAGAGAAGAAAAGAAGAAGAGGGAAAGGAAGAGAUUAGGAAGAAGAGGGAGAAGAGAAGAAAAGAAGAAGAAGAAGAAGAGAUGGAAGAUGGAGAGGAGAGAGAGAGAGAGGCAGCAGCUGCAGCUAGGGCUGCAGCACCUCUGUUUCCCGCAGGUGGAAACAGAGGAGAGGAUGUGUGGGGCGUUGGGGAGGAAAAGGGAAGAGGAAGAAGAAGAAGAAGAAGAAGAAGAAGAAGAAGAAGAAGAAGAAGAAGAAGAGAGGAGGAUAGCUGUGGCAAGGCUGCAGCGAGGAGGUGUGUGGCGUUGGGGAGGAAAAAGGAAGAGGAGAAGAAGAGAAGGAGAAGAAGAGAAGGAGAAGAUAGGGAAGAGGGAGAGGAGCGAGAGGUGGCAGCAGCUAGGGCUGCAGCACCUCUGUUUCCUGCAGGUGGAAACAGAGGAGAGGUGUGGGGCGUUCGAAGAGGAGAAGAAGAAGAAGAGGAAGAGAAGAGGAAGAGGAAGCAGGAGAAGAGGUUGUGAUACCUCUGUUUCCUGCAGAGGAAACAGAGGAGAGGGUGUGUGUGACGCUGGGGAGGAGGAGGGAAGAAGAAGAGGAGAAGAAGAAGAGAAGGGAAAGGAGGAGCUGCGGCUGCGGCGGUGGAAUCUGCAGCUGGAAGAGAAGGAGAGGAAGAGAUGGUGAGGAAGAAGAGAAGAAGUAGAAGCGGGUGAAGAGGCAGCACCUCUGUUUCCUGCAGGAGGAAACAGAGGAAAGGAGGUGCUGUUCGUCGGGGAGAAGAAGGGGAGGAAGGAGAAGAAGAGAAGAAGAAGAAAGGAAGGAGAAGGAAGAGGAGAAGGGAAAGAAGUAGCUGCGGCUGCGGCUGCGGCUGUGGCAGCUGCAGCUAUGGCAGGGAAAGAGGAAGAGAAAGGAAGAAGGGAAGGAGAGGAAGAAGAGAAGGGAAAGAAGGGGCUGCGGCUGCGGCGAUGGCAGCUGCAGUUGGAAGAGAAGAAGGAGAGGAAGAUGAGCAAGGGAGGAAGAAGAGGCUGUGGCCGUGGCUGAGGCUGCGACUGCAGCAGUGCAGCUAGGAAAGAAGAGAAGGAAAGGAAGAAGAAGAGAAAGGAAAAGGGAAGAAGAGAGGAAGAGGAGAAGGGGAGGCAGCUGUGGCAGUGACAGUGGCAGCUGCAGCUGAAAGAGAAGGAGAGGAAAUAGAGCAGGGGAGGAAGAAGAGGCUGCGGCUGUGGUGGCUGCGGCCAUGGCUGUGACUGCGACUGCGGCAGUUGCAGCUGGGAAAGAAAAGAAAGGAAAGGGGAAAAAGGGGCUGCGGACGGGAUUGCGGCCGUAGUGGCAGCGACUGCGUAUGCAGUAGUUAUGUCUGCGAGAGAAGGGAGCAAGGAAGUAGUACAGUGGAAGGGGCUGCGGUUGUGACAGCAGCUGCGGUCGUGGCUACGACUGUGGUAGUGGCAGCGGCGAUGGCUGCGACAACUGUGUUUGAAAAAGAAAACGAAGGAAUGAGAGUAAGAGAGAGCAUGUGACUAUGCCUCUAUGUUCUGCAUGAGUUGUAGUUGUGGAGGAAAAAGAAAAGACAUGUAGAAAACGAAACAGAGAGAGAGGACACGGAGGAAAAGUAGAAGGAUUUGGGCUGGCACACUCUUUGGAUCUUCGUAUCGAAAUCUUUGAAAGCCAAGUUUCCUGAUCGUUUCUCCUGUCAGCUUGUCACCAUUUGAGAUGUUUGAUAUGGGCUGAGGCAGUGGAUAGCUAUUCAGAAUUAUGGGCAAGUCUUGUUGGUUGUUAUGCUAUUGUUGUAUAAGCAUAUUUUGUAUGUAAUAAAAUGUUGUUGAUGAAUCGAAAUGGAUAUACUGUGUAAAAGUGUUAGAAGAUCUCUCUUAUUUGGAAUUUCGGAAUGUUAAGUCCAAUUUAUGA